UGAGGAAUAUUGCACAAUGGGCGAAAGCCUGAUGCAGCGACGCCGCGUGGGUGAAGAAGGUUUUCGGGAUCGUAAAACCCUUUUCUGUGUGACGAGAGAGGACGGUAGCACAGGAAUAAGUCUCGGCUAACUACGUGCCAGCAGCCGCGGUAAAACGUAGGAGACAAACGUUAUCCGGAGUUACUGGGCGUAAAGGGCGUGCAGGCGGCAGCCUAAGUCUGGCGUGAAAUAUCCCGGCUUAACCGGGAGAGGUCGUCGGGAUACUGGGCAGCUAGAGGGCGGUAGAGGCGUGUGGAAUUCCGGGUGUAGUGGUGAAUGCGUAGAGAUCCGGAAGAACACCAGUGGCGAAGGCGACACGCUGGGCCGCACCUGACGCUAAGACGCGACAGCAUGGGGAGCGAA
rnacentral:rRNA from 1 species